rnacentral:rRNA from 1 species
AGAGUUUGAUCCUGGCUCAGGACGAACGCUGGCGGCGUGCCUAAUACAUGCAAGUCGAGCGCGGGAAGCGAGUGAAUCCCUUCGGGGUGAAGCUCGUGGAACGAGCGGCGGACGGGUGAGUAACACGUGGGCAACCUGCCUGUAAGACCGGAAUAACCCCGGGAAACCGGGGCUAAUGCCGGGUAAUACUUUUCUUCGCAUGAAGGAAAGUUGAAAGAUGGCUUCUUGCUAUCACUUACAGAUGGGCCCGCGGCGCAUUAGCUAGUUGGUGAGGUAACGGCUCACCAAGGCGACGAUGCGUAGCCGACCUGAGAGGGUGAUCGGCCACACUGGGACUGAGACACGGCCCAGACUCCUACGGGAGGCAGCAGUAGGGAAUCUUCCGCAAUGGACGAAAGUCUGACGGAGCAACGCCGCGUGAACGAUGAAGGUCUUCGGAUCGUAAAGUUCUGUUGUUAGGGAAGAACAAGUACCGUGCGAAUAGAGCGGUACCUUGACGGUACCUAACGAGGAAGCCCCGGCUAACUACGUGCCAGCAGCCGCGGUAAUACGUAGGGGGCAAGCGUUGUCCGGAAUUAUUGGGCGUAAAGCGCGCGCAGGCGGUUCCUUAAGUCUGAUGUGAAAGCCCACGGCUCAACCGUGGAGGGUCAUUGGAAACUGGGGAACUUGAGGACAGAAGAGGAGAGUGGAAUUCCACGUGUAGCGGUGAAAUGCGUAGAUAUGUGGAGGAACACCAGUGGCGAAGGCGACUCUCUGGUCUGUUUCUGACGCUGAGGUGCGAAAGCGUGGGUAGCAAACAGGAUUAGAUACCCUGGUAGUCCACGCCGUAAACGAUGAGUGCUAGGUGUUAGGGGGCUUCCACCCCUUAGUGCUGAAGUUAACGCAUUAAGCACUCCGCCUGGGGAGUACGGCCGCAAGGCUGAAACUCAAAGGAAUUGACGGGGGCCCGCACAAGCGGUGGAGCAUGUGGUUUAAUUCGAAGCAACGCGAAGAACCUUACCAGGUCUUGACAUCCUUGGACAUCCCUAGAGAUAGGGCUUUCCCUUCGGGGACCAAGUGACAGGUGGUGCAUGGUUGUCGUCAGCUCGUGUCGUGAGAUGUUGGGUUAAGUCCCGCAACGAGCGCAACCCCUAAUCUUAGUUGCCAGCAUUCAGUUGGGCACUCUAAGGUGACUGCCGGUGACAAACCGGAGGAAGGCGGGGAUGACGUCAAAUCAUCAUGCCCCUUAUGACCUGGGCUACACACGUGCUACAAUGGAUGGUACAAAGGGCAGCGAAGCCGNNNNNNNNNNNAGCAUCUCCUUGUUUAAAGCUGAGCAAAGGAUGAUAAUAAUGAUGGGUCGCAUACUGCAGAACUUCCUCACUAAUAUCUACUCCAAUCAUCUCUUUUAUUUUUGAAUUUUUGCCUGCACCCGUAAAAAGAUAAACAUCACAAAACUCAUAGGUCCUUUUAUUUUCUGUCUUGAUCCGUCCAUUUACAGCUGCUGUCUUCCCAUGUGUAAUAAUGUGGUGAAUGACUAAUUCCGAUACUUUGACAUACUCCAUUUUUUGGAUAUUU